AUCCAGCCGAUGAGUCCCAAAUAGGACGAAACCAGCAUCCUGGAU
rnacentral:hammerhead_ribozyme from 1 species